CAUCAACACAUGGGAUGAAUUUAACAAGGCUGGUUUUGUUUUUUGUUUUUUUUUUUUGUAUGAUGGAGUCCUGCUUUGUCACCCAGGCUGCAGUGCAAUGGUGUGAUCUUGGCUCACUGCAAGCUCCGCCUCCCGGGUUCAAGUGAUUCCCCUGCCUCAGGCUCCCGAGUAGUAGGGACUACAAGGCGGCAAACAAGGCUGUUCUUACUUCAA
rnacentral:lncRNA from 1 species